UUUCCAACUGCAACACACUGUUAGAAUUAUUAUGUUUGUUAUUCUUACAUUUGUAAUUUUAUGUUACUAGUUGUUUUUCUAUUUAGAGGUUCAGUGUUCUAAUUUGUUAAAACUGUGAAGACAUAGUUAAACUUUCCUUAACCUCAAGCAUGUUUUACAGAUGGUGACUUAGAUCUUCCUGGGAUACUCCUGAGCUGUAAACCUGUCUGUGUGUUAAUUUAGUUUCUGUGUGACCCCCUUCUUUGUUUCCAAUUUAGCACCCUGCUGUGAAGAUAGGAUGUUGUUUUCACCCCACCACAUACCUUUUUACCCCCUCUUCUUGCGAAUAAAAGAGACAAACAAACUGAAGGUUUUCAGAACACAUGGUGAGCAGCUUGGAGAAGCAGUUCACUGUGUUUUCUCUUUCUGCAGAAGUUUGGUUGAAAAUCAUA